AUUGAACGCUGGCGGCAGGCCUAACACAUGCAAGUCGAACGAGUGGCGGACGGGUGAGUAAUGUCUGGGCAACUGCCUGAUGGAGGGGGAUAACUACUGGAAACGGUCGCUAAUAACGCCUACCAUCAGAUGUGCCCAGAUGGGAUUAGCUUGUUGGUGGGGUAACGGCUCACCAGGGCGACGAUCCCUAGCUGGUUUGAGAGGAUGACCAGCCACACUGGAACGGAGACACGGUACAGAUUCCUAAGGGAGGAAGCAGUGGGGAAUAUUGCACAAUGGGCGCAAGCCUGAGGCAGCCAUGCCGCGUGUAUGAAGAAGGCCUUCGGGUUGUAAAGUACUUUCAGCGGGGAGGCGUUACCCGAAGAAGAAGCACCGGCUAACUCCGUGCCAGCAGCCGCGGUAAUAC
rnacentral:rRNA from 1 species